CCUACGGGAGGCAGCAGUGGGGAAUAUUGCACAAUGGGGGAAACCCUGAUGCAGCGACGCCGCGUGAGUGAUGAAGGUUUUCGGUAUGUAAAGCUCUAUUAUUAGGGAAGAAAAUGACGGUAACUGACUAAGAAGCUCCGGCUAACUACGUGCCAGCAGCCGCGGUAAUACGGAGGGGGCAAGCGUUAUCCGGAUUUACUGGGCGUAAAGGGAGCGUAGACGGGAGCGCAAGUCUGAAGUGAAAUGCCAGGGCUUAACCUUGGAACUGCAUUGGAAACUGUGCAGCUAGAGUGCAGGAGAGGUAAGUGGAAUUCCUAGUGUAGCGGUGAAAUGCGUAGAGAUAAGGAGGAACACCAGUGGCGAAGGCGACUUACUGGACUGUAACUGACGUUGAGGCGCGAAAGCGUGGGGAGCAAACAGGAUUAGAUACCCCAGUAGUC
rnacentral:rRNA from 1 species